rnacentral:lncRNA from 1 species
GGCUAAGAAGUUCGUAAAAAGUCUGGAAUCGCCGUCAUCUUGAGGUUCGAACGACGAAGAUCAUGCGGAGUUCUGGAGAAGCCGAAGUUUACGCAGGAAGAAUAAUCAUCCAUUUACAUCGAAUUAGAAGAUUCAGACCCAGAAAGGCUAUCGAAUAAGGAUUCUGAUUCUGUUGCCAUUGAACUUUGAUCAGGGAUUGUAGUUGUUAACUGUAGGGUUUGAUCAAUGAUGAAACAUCUCUUAAGGUUUGGACCGAGUCCCAAAAAGUUUCAGCUUUCACUGAAUAUAUUCAAUUGUUGAAGCCAUCACAGUAUCACUACGGCAAUUGAACAACAUACCAUUAGUCUCCCGUUCCAUGUUCGUCCGAUGCAAUCACAGUAUAAUUACCGUUCUUAACUAAACAAUUGAACAAC